rnacentral:lncRNA from 1 species
CAUCCAUAAGACUGUCAGGUUAAUUUAUUAUCUUCAAGCAGGGUAAAGUCUCAGACCCUUCAGAGUGCUUGACAACCACACCCCUUUAAGAUACACAUCAUUUCCAUUGGAACAGCCCCCUUCCAGUCAAUCUCCUAAGAGAUAAUCCUCUUUCUAAUUGUUAUCACAAUAGAUAGUUUUGCCUUUCCUGGAAUAUCACCUACAUAUCAUCAAAAUAAAUCUGCUUUUAUGUUUAUUUGCUUCACUCAUCAUUAAGUCCAUGAGAUUCAUCCAUGCUUUUGUGUAUGUCAGUAAUUCAUUCUUUUUUCAUGACCAAAUACCUUUCAUUAUGAGACUAACUCUUAAUUUAUUUAUCUAUUCUCCUGUUGGUGGAUAUUUGAGUUGUUUUCAGUUUGGAGAAUAAAGCUGCUAUAAACAUUUACUUAUCUAGUUUUAUUGUAUACAGGACACAGACUAAAUAAUUUGUAGUCUGGAUUCUAUUAUCUUCUUCUGAAGAGUGUUUUUGUUAUAAAAGUCGAUUUGUCUAGACUCAAAUUUCCUGCUGUCUCUUUUGCAGUGGGCCCCAACUGAAAUUUCUGUUAUAGCUUUCUACCUUCCAGCUGUUGUUUUCCACUGGGCGCCUUAUGAUCUCCCCUGCACAAGCAUAGCCAAAGGAGUCAGCCAAAAAUUUAGAUGAAGUUUAUCAUAGAUUUUGAAACUCUCUAUUUUGUGGCUGUUUCCCUUCUUGGGUAUUCUCCCUCACCUCAGAGUUGCUUGGGCAUCCUUCAGCUCUGUCCAUUGAUGCUCAAGCCAGUAAGACCUUUCUGAGUACUAGCAUACUUGCACUCAAAAGGACAUAGAGAGUACCUCAGGGAAAAAGCUUUAUAUGCAAAUCCUACCUAGUGUGAUUUCCUCCUUUCAAAAUGUUUACUCCCGUUAGUUUCUGCCUGCCUUUGGUCAUUCUCUAGUGCCUUCGAAUCUUUUUUUUUAAAUAUUGCUCUGAGUUUAUAAUUAUUACAGGAGACUUAGUCUAAUAGAGCCUUCCCUUAGCAUUUCCAGAAGCAGAACUCUGCCUAGUUUAUCUCUUUAUUUCAAACUUUCUGAGUCAUUUUACUUUGGAUGUGUCACAUAAGCAACAUGUAGAGUGAUUUUAUUUUUUUAGGGAAUCUGAUUCUGUUUGCUAUCCAUUAUUGUCAGUUUAAUCCAUUUAUAUCUAUUGUGAGUGAUAGCAUUUGGAUUUAAUUUUUACUGUUUUGUGUUCUGUUUACCAUUAUUCCAUAAGCUUCUUCUCUAGUUCUGGUCUUUGGCCAGAUUGAGAAUAUUUUAUUUCCCCACCCCUUUAUGUUGUCCUUAUUUGGAAGUUAUAUUUCUCUUCCUUAGUGGCCACCAUUAAAUUUUCUACAUACACAUCUACAAAAUUUUUAUCAAAGUUUAAAGUUAGUAAAUACUUCCAUCUUCCUUCCGAACAAGAAAGAACAUUAGUUCAUUUCGUUUACUCAUUAACAGAUUUUUAUUUUCACUUUUAUCGUCUAAAAACUUAGCGUCAGAGUUCCCAUUGUGGCUCAGAGGUAACGAACCCAACUAGCAUCUAUGAGGAUACAGGUUUGAUCCCUGGCCCUGCUCAGUGGGUUAAGGAUCCACUGUUGCCAUGAGCUGCAGUAUAGGUCUCAGAUGAGGCUCGGAUCUGGCAUUGCUGUGGCUCUGAUUCCAAUUAGACCCCUAACUUGGGAACUUCCAUAUGCCAUGGGAAUGGUCCUAAAAGGAAAAAAAAAAGUAAACAAAUAAUAAAUAAAAACUUAACAUCACCUUUUUUAUCAAUGUUUUAAUAAUCAGUAUUCAAAUAUGCCAACAUAUUUUCUGCUCACCAUUUUUCUUAGUAAUAACUUUAUUAAGCUGUAAUUCACAUUCCAUAAAGUCACCAUUGUUUCUUACAUCUACCUUCUUUCCCUUGGAUUCACUUUGCUUUCACUCUGUGGAUGGUAUCUAGAUAUGAAUUUGUAUUUAUCCUGUGUAGGACAGAGUGUACCUUUAAGGGUUAUUCUUCAAUUUUGGAAAUUAAAUCUCUUCAGAUACUGCUUCUUUAUAAUUCCUCUACUACCUUCUUUUGGAUAGUUUUUCCUUCCAUCAUAGAGGGUCUCUUAAUCUGUCCUCUGAGCCACUAAUUUUUUCAUUCUUUUAAAAAAAUUUCUUUCUGUUGCAUUUUGGAGUAAUUCCUCAGUAUUGACUCCCAAUGUAGUAUUUCUCUCAGAUUGUAUACAGUGUAGAAUGCCUAUUAAGGUUUUUAUUUCAAUAGGUGUUUUUCUAAUUAUUUUACUUUUUCUACAUAUUAUUGAAACAUGCCUGAUUUUGUUUCAUAAUGUCUUAUUCUUUUAAGAAAUGUAUGCAUUGCUUCAUCUCUUUGAGGAUAUGAAACGUCUUUAUUUCUUUCUUUAAAUUGCCCUAUUUCAUUUUAAUCUGGAGCGAAUCAUUGUUCUGAUUAUUGAUUUCGUGGCACUGUUUUUUAAUGGUAGGUUUUUUCGUGUGCUUUGAUUUUCAUAUUGAGUGGGAGAGGUGGUUUUCCUCCUAUAUAUCCCUAAGGAUUUUGCACUUGGCCAACAAGCUCCCAGGUUCUUCAAUGGCAAACCAGAUCUUAAAAUGACAGUUUGAGAUUCCUCCCGUGUUCAUUGGUUAUUGCCAGUACAACCUCAAAAUCUCAGUGGUAAACAACAAUAACCAUUUAUUUUGCUCACAAAGCAGCUAUCUAGGGGAAGCUUAUGUCAUGAUAAAGACAAGAGCACAAUAGGACAAGACCUAUUGUGCAUGCAUUUCAAGCUCCUACUUUUUUCUUUUUUUGGCUGCACCUGUGGCAUAUGGAAGUUCCCAGGGGCCAGGGUUUGAUCCCUUGCCAAAGCACAACUUGAGCCGUUGCAGUGAUAUCACCAGUUCCUUAACCCGCUGAGCCACAGGAGAAUUCCUCAAGCCCUUGCUUAUAUAACAUCUGCAAAUAUCUCAAUGGCCAAAGCAAGUCCUAUAGUUGAGCCCCAAAUUAAGAGGCAGGUAAGUAUACUCUGUCUUUUGCAGGAGGAACUUCACAGUUACAAGGCAAUUUAUAUCUGUCUCAUGGCAAAACAGAUGCAUCCAAUCAUGGUAUCAGGAUCAAAAUCCAAUAUCUUAUGAUAUAUAUUAGAUUUGAAUGUGAUUCUCCUUGAUUUAGAAACCUGUGAACUAAAGUCUGUGUGUGUGUGAUCUUCCCCCCCAACCUCUCACUCUUAUCCAACUGCAUUUAACACUCCUAAUCAAAAAGGGAAAGAUCAGAAGGCAUUAGCAUUCACUUGUUCUGAAAUACCAUAGGGAAACUGUUGCCAGGUCCCCCUGCUCUGGGCAUAGGGAAUUUUGCUUGAUUAGACACUAAUUAUUUUCCCUGGAUUGGAUCUCCAGUCCAUUGUUCUCCAUUGCUCUUGGUUUUAUCAUCCCAGGAGGUCUUUUGAUUUCUAUCAUCCUUAUAGGUCACUUCCAAAGACAGCAUUGGAGAAUAUGCCCUUUCUCACUUUAAGAAGUUUUCUCAGCUAUUCCCUGUCUAUAAAGUGUUAUUGGCCCAGAAGUCUUUUUAUAUUUCAGUCUCAUUCCUGUUUAAUCCUAGCUGGUGGUUUGUUUGCCAAUACUGCUCUCUCAAAAACAUGAAUUUUCUAUGUAUUUGUUUUCAGUGAACUCUGUUUGACAAAACCAUACCCACAGUUCUUUUGGAUACAUGCCUCUCAGACUUUAUUAUGAGGCUUCCAAGGGACCCUUCCCUUAAGCUUUCUAGAACCCCCUUGUCCAGCUGAGAGGAUCUUCCAGGCAUCUUCUCCUUUCUGAUGUCUUAGUAAAGGAAGUUACAGCAAUGCCCUUAAUUAAAUUUUCCUCCAGGCUGGAAUCUAAGACUCUUAAUGGCUGGAGAUGAAGAGUUUAUUUUCCAAAUAAGCAAGUUCUGGGCUCUUUAAAUCCCUCUAAAUUCUUCUUGCAAGUUGGCAAGUUUUUUUCCUGAAUUUAUCCUUUUCUUGUAGUGCUUUGUAAAAUGGAACUAAAAGUAUAUUGCUCAUGCUUUCAAUAUUAGCCUGGAAAUCUACUAUCUUUCACAUUACCACAGGCAGCAGUUUUACCAAAUACAGGUUGCCAUUUUUCUAGCUUCUGUAAUAGUUUCCUUGCUAUCCACCACCUGUUUCCCAAGCUAAAUAUAAUACUGUAUAUUUUAGGUUCUUGUUACAGUAGCAUCCCAGUGUUAGGUUUUCCAUAAUAGCUAGCUAAUGCUGCAUAACAAACAAUCUCAAAAUCUCAGUGACAUGUAACAACUUUUUAAAUCUCUCAUGGGUCUGCAGGUUAGCUAGAGCAGCUGCACACAGCAAUAACUCAAGCAGCUCAGCUCUGUGGGCAAGAAGAGCAGUUGUGCUCCACAAGCAUACAUGCUGGGGCCCAGGUCACAGGGUAGCAGCUACCCUGGGGAAAACUCAUUUCAUUGAGGGUAAGAGGGUAAGCCCCAUUAGACAAGCACAUUUCAAGCCCCUGUUUUCAUCAUUUCUAUUAACAUCUCCCUAGCCAAAGCAAGUCCCACAGCUGAGCCCAAAGUCAGGAUGGAAAAGUGCAUUGCCUUUUGUGUAAAGAACUUCAAGGUAAGAAUGUUAUAGGAUGUGGAUAGAGGGAAGGGGAAAGAAUCAGGGCCAGUAAUUUAUUACAUGCUCCAUAGUAAUAUGUGGGAUACUGGUUGCCAGGCUGUUCUGUCCUGCAUCCAGAAACACGCAGCUUUUCAUAAAGCUGUAGUGCCAGGCUGUAGUUAGCAGAAAUUUUUUAAAGUUUCCUUGUGAGGGGGUCAGGGUAAGUGAGGAUCACCAGCUUGUAGGCAGUGAACCUGUGUUUGGUCUUCAUCUCAUUUACGGCACAUCUACUCAAUGUUCUCCAGAAUGAUAGGGACUCUUAGUUGCUUCAACUGACUUCACCUCCAGAGGCCAGCAAGCCCAUGACUCCACCUUCCACUUUCUUUACUGCAUUUCUUUUCUAUUCCUGGCCCACAGAAAUGUUUAUCUUAUUGAACAAAUUUGGGCCUUUUACUUUCCAAGCUAUGUAUUUUUUUCUUUCACAGAUUAUGUAUCACAGCCAGGGAUUUAGAGCGAGGGGAUAACCUGAACCUCAGACUUAAAAAUGUCAUUGCCAUCCAAAGUCCCAGAAUCCUAUAGAAAAAGUUCUCUUUUAUUUUCGGUGGUGUUUCUUUAAACAUAAAAUCUGUCUUAUCUCUUAGCACUUAAGUAUGCCUAAAUUAAUACAUUACAAAAAAUAACCGGUUUCAAAAGAUAGACAUACUCAAAUUUAGUACAUCAAAAAUGAUCUGGCAAAUUAUAUGAAAUAAAAAUUAAAAAUAGUCCUCUAUUUUUGCAAGUAGGUCUGAUCAUGAAACUGUUUUCAAAUGUGUAUAUUAAAUAUUAGUGGCUUUGUCACAGUCUCUUGGGAAUGGUCAUCCCAUUCUCUUCUUAUCCAAACUUUUCUCUCUUGUUUUUUGACUUUUUAAAUGUGAAAACUAUUAACAAAAAUUUCAAAUAUAUAAUAUACACAGAGUAGUGUAAUGACCUCUCUGUACCCAUGACUGAGCUUUAUAAUUAAUAAUCAUGGUAAAUCUUGUUUUAUGCAUAGCAGUUUGGGAAAUGGUAACCCACAUAUCAAAUCGAGCCUACUGGCUAUUUUAUCUCUUCUAUAAAACUCCCACUGAAUAACAAUGGGAAUUCUUUAAUAUUUCUUUUUCUUCCUAACUUAUUAUUAAGAUCUACCUAUUUAACAAGCUAUUUUCUUAGCUUUGAAAGAGCUGCAGACUUUUCUUCAUUUUCAUGAGUAGUUCAUUCUCAGUAAUUUUAAUAACCAAUACUUUGAGGUCAUCUAUAGAUGACCUCAAAGAAUAAAUAUUCUGAAUUUAACAAAGCAUGUGAGAAAGUUAAUAAGCAGUAAUAGCACAAUCAUCAGAGGGAUUUCAGCAAAAUUGCAAUUUGAAAUAUAUUAAAAGUCCUAUAGGAAAAUAUAAAUACAAUCUCACAUUUUAAAAAUAUAAUAGCAUUUGUUUUUUGCCACACUGGUUUUUCUUAAGACCAAUUAAUUCACUUUUAUUAGUUUUAACAAGUAAGUGAUUAUUAGCAUUUCUAAAUAACAUUUUAUAUUAAAAAAAGCCCUUUACAGUUUACAUGGCAAUUUUACAAGAGCUAUCUUAUUUAAUAUUUACAGCAACCUAGUGAGGUAGAGAUUAUUUUCAUACUAAAUGAUCCCAUUGAGACUCAAACCUAUGUCAUCUACUUAAAGUCCACCAACCACGCUACUAAACUAGUCUCGAAUCUUACCAUAGAGCAGUUUUAAACAGAUUUUAUCACCUUUUACAAGCCUUGGUUAUAUAAAGGCACUGUGCUAUGCAAAGUAUUAUUAACUACAUUACUUCCUAGGUAUGCUAAAGAUAUAUAUCUGUACAGUGAAGAUAUUACAAUAAACUCUUAUGAAAUCUGUACCUUUGGAGUUUAGGAUUUUAAGCACAGAAUGUAUCUUUCAUUCACAUUUAAAGAGCAAGAAAUAGGAGUUCCCGUCAUGGCUCAGUGGUUAACAAACCCAACUAGUAACCAUGAGGUUGCAGGUUUGAUCCCUGGCCUCACUCAGUGAGUGGGGGAUCCGGCGUUGCUGUGAGCUGUGGUGUAGCUUGCAGACACGGCUUGGAUCCACAGUGUUGCUAUGGCUUUGGCAUAGGCCUGCAGCUAUAGCUCCGAUUGGACCCUAGCCUGGGAACCUCCAUAUGCCGCGGGUGUGGCCCUAG